rnacentral:rRNA from 1 species
AGAGUUUGAUCCUGGCUCAGGACGAACGCUGGCGGCGUGCCUAAUACAUGCAAGUAGAACGCUGAAGAGAGGAGCUUGCUCUUCUUGGAAGAGUUGCGAACGGGUGAGUAACGCGUAGGUAACCUGCCUUGUAGCGGGGGAUAACUAUUGGAAACGAUAGCUAAUACCGCAUAACAAUGGGUGACCCAUGUCAUUCAUUUGAAAGGGGCAACUGCUCCACUACAAGAUGGACCUGCGUUGUAUUAGCUAGUAGGUGAGGUAACGGCUCACCUAGGCGACGAUACAUAGCCGACCUGAGAGGGGGAUCGGCCACACUGGGACUGAGACACGGCCCAGACUCCUACGGGAGGCAGCAGUAGGGAAUCUUCGGCAAUGGGGGCAACCCUGACCGAGCAACGCCGCGUGAGUGAAGAAGGUUUUCGGAUCGUAAAGCUCUGUUGUAAGUCAAGAACGAGUGUGAGAGUGGAAAGUUCACACUGUGACGGUAGCUUACCAGAAAGGGACGGCUAACUACGUGCCAGCAGCCGCGGUAAUACGUAGGUCCCGAGCGUUGUCCGGAUUUAUUGGGCGUAAAGCGAGCGCAGGCGGUUUGAUAAGUCUGAAGUUAAAGGCUGUGGCUCAACCAUAGUUCGCUUUGGAAACUGUCAAACUUGAGUGCAGAAGGGGAGAGUGGAAUUCCAUGUGUAGCGGUGAAAUGCGUAGAUAUAUGGAGGAACACCGGUGGCGGAAGCGGCUCUCUGGUCUGUAACUGACGCUGAGGCUCGAAAGCGUGGGGAGCGAACAGGAUUAGAUACCCUGGUAGUCCACGCC